UGCAGUCGAGCGGACAGAUGGGAGCUUGCUCCCUGAUGUUAGCGGCGGACGGGUGAGUAACACGUGGGUAACCUGCCUGUAAGACUGGGAUAACUCCGGGAAACCGGGGCUAAUACCGGAUGGUUGUCUGAACCGCAUGGUUCAGACAUAAAAGGUGGCUUCGGCUACCACUUACAGAUGGACCCGCGGCGCAUUAGCUAGUUGGUGAGGUAACGGCUCACCAAGGCGACGAUGCGUAGCCGACCUGAGAGGGUGAUCGGCCACACUGGGACUGAGACACGGCCCAGACUCCUACGGGAGGCAGCAGUAGGGAAUCUUCCGCAAUGGACGAAAGUCUGACGGAGCAACGCCGCGUGAGUGAUGAAGGUUUUCGGAUCGUAAAGCUCUGUUGUUAGGGAAGAACAAGUGCCGUUCAAAUAGGGCGGCACCUUGACGGUACCUAACCAGAAAGCCACGGCUAACUACGUGCC
rnacentral:rRNA from 1 species